rnacentral:rRNA from 1 species
UACGGGGGGAGCAAGCGUUGUUCGGAUUUACUGGGCGUAAAGGGCGCGUAGGCGGCCACCGCAAGUCGACUGUGAAAUCUCCGGGCUUAACCCGGAAAGGUCAGCCGAUACUGCGGGGCUAGAGUGCAGAAGGGGCAACUGGAAUUCUCGGUGUAGCGGUGAAAUGCGUAGAUAUCAGAUAGAACACCAAUGGCGAAGGCAGUUGCCUGGCUCAAAACUGACGCUAAAGCACGAAAGUGUGGGGAGCAAACAGG